UAGGGAAUCUUGCGCAAUGGGGGAAACCCUGACGCAGCGACGCCACGUGAGUGAUGAAGGCCCUAGGGUUGUAAAGCUCUGUUCUUGAUGAACAAAAAAAUGAGGGUAAUCAAGGAGAAAGGACCGGCUAACUUCGUGCCAGCAGCCGCGGUAAGACGAGGGGUCCGAGCGUUGUCCGGAAUCAUUGGGCGUAAAGCGGAUGCAGGUGGUUUUGUAAGUCAGAAGUGAAAGCCUUAAGCUCAACUUAAGAAGGGCUUUUGAUACUGCAAAACUUGAGUGUGGAAGAGGGCAAUAGAAUUCCUGGUGUAGUGGUGAAAUACGUAGAUAUCAGGAGGAAUACCGGAGGCGAAGGCGGUUGCCUGGUCCAUAACUGACACUCAGAUCCGAAAGCGUGGGGAGCAAACAGG
rnacentral:rRNA from 2 species